rnacentral:rRNA from 1 species
ACUUACAGGCUGUUGCCCUCUAGAGGUGGCUUAAAGAUAGGUAGGAACCCCCCUAAGCAGGGCUGAGCCUGGUCAGUAUCUGGAUGGGAGACCUCAUGAGAAAGCUAGGUUUCUGCAAGUG